GACGAACGCUGGCGGCGUGCUUAACACAUGCAAGUCGAACGAUGAAGCCCAGCUUGCUGGGCGGAUUAGUGGCGAACGGGUGAGUAAUACGUGAGUAACCUGCCUUUAACUCUGGGAUAAGCCUUGGAAACGGGGUCUAAUACCGGAUACGACCAACCCUCGCAUGGGGUGUUGGUGGAAAGGGAUUUUGUACUGGUUUUAGAUGGGCUCACGGCCUAUCAGCUUGUUGGUGAGGUGACGGCUCACCAAGGCGACGACGGGUAGCCGGCCUGAGAGGGUGACCGGCCACACUGGGACUGAGACACGGCCCAGACUCCUACGGGAGGCAGCAGUGGGGAAUAUUGCACAAUGGGCGCAAGCCUGAUGCAGCGACGCCGCGUGAGGGAUGACGGCCUUCGGGUUGUAAACCUCUUUCAGCAGGGGAGAAGCGAAAGUGACGGUACCUGCAGAAGAAGCGCCGGCUAACUACGUGCCAGCAGCCGCGGUAAUACGUAGGGCGCGAGCGUUGUCCGGAAUUAUUGGGCGUAAAGAGCUUGUAGGCGGUUUGUCGCGUCUGCUGUGAAAGCCCGGGGCUUAACCCCCGGGUUUGCAGUGGGUACGGGCAGACUAGAGUGCAGUAGGGGAGACUGGAAUUCCUGGUGUAGCGGUGAAAUGCGCAGAUAUCAGGAGGAACACCAAUGGCGAAGGCAGGUCUCUGGGCUGUAACUGACGCUGAGAAGCGAAAGCAUGGGGAGCGAACAGGAUUAGAUACCCUGGUAGUCCAUGCCGUAAACGUUGGGCACUAGGUGUGGGGAACAUUCCACGUUUUCCGCGCCGUAGCUAACGCAUUAAGUGCCCCGCCUGGGGAGUACGGCCGCAAGGCUAAAACUCAAAGAAAUUGACGGGGGCCCGCACAAGCGGCGGAGCAUGCGGAUUAAUUCGAUGCAACGCGAAGAACCUUACCAAGGCUUGACAUAUACUAGAUCGCCUCAGAGAUGGGGUUUCCCUUCGGGGCUGGUAUACAGGUGGUGCAUGGUUGUCGUCAGCUCGUGUCGUGAGAUGUUGGGUUAAGUCCCGCAACGAGCGCAACCCUCGUUCUAUGUUGCCAGCACGUAAUGGUGGGGACUCAUAGGAGACUGCCGGGGUUAACUCGGAGGAAGGUGGGGAUGACGUCAAAUCAUCAUGCCCCUUAUGUCUUGGGCUUCACGCAUGCUACAAUGGCCGGUACAAAGGGUUGCGAUACUGUGAGGUUGAGCUAAUCCCAAAAAGCCGGUCUCAGUUCGGAUUGGGGUCUGCAACUCGACCCCAUGAAGUCGGAGUCGCUAGUAAUCGCAGAUCAGCAACGCUGCGGUGAAUACGUUCCCGGGCCU
rnacentral:rRNA from 1 species